rnacentral:rRNA from 1 species
GGGUUCCUACGGGAGGCAGCAGUAGGGAAUCUUCCACAAUGGACGAAAGUCUGAUGGAGCAACGCCGCGUGAGUGAAGAAGGGUUUCGGAUUGUAAACUUCCGUUCUUAGUGAAGAAUAAUGACGGUAACUAAGGAGCAAGCCACGGCUAACUACGUGCCAGCAGCCGCGGUAAUACGUAGGUGGCAAGCGUUGUCCGGAAUUACUGGGUGUAAAGGGAGCGUAGGCGGGAAGCCAAGUCAGCUGUGAAAACUACGGGCUUAACCUGUAG